UACAGAGGUCUCAAGCGUUGUUCGGAAUUAUUGGGCGUAAAGCGCGUGUAGGCGGCUUCGUAAGUUGGGUGUGAAAGCCCUCGGCUUAACCGAGGAAGUGCGCCCAAAACUGCGUGGCUUGAGUACCGGAGAGGAUGGCGGAAUUCCCGGUGUAGAGGUGAAAUUCGUAGAUAUCGGGAGGAACACCAGCGGCGAAGGCGGCCAUCUGGACGGAUACUGACGCUGAGACGCGAAAGCGUGGGGAGCAAACAGG
rnacentral:rRNA from 1 species